CAAAACUACUAAUGACGCACCACCAGCUGGUGCGCCAUUAGUAACCAGGGUUACUAAUGGCGCAUUUGUAGGUGGUGCGCCAUUAGUAACCUGGCGAGUGACCAGUCACAAAUGCACAUGUAUCAUGCCCACGCGAGAUCCGCAUGCCGAGAUUCCCCAGAUCUCUCUCCCUCUCUCGCGCGCCAAUGGCAUCGGUGGACUCCGGCGAGGGGCACGCGCCCGUGCCCAGGGCCAGCAUCUCGCACGUCAUCUUCGACAUGGACGGCCUCCUCGGUAUCCGCUCCCCACCUCUCCUCGAUUCUUGUGUUAGGGAAAUCUCUCCCGGAUCACUCAAACACACACGCGAUCUCGUGGACUUGAAGAACUCAAGAACACAUACGAACGCGAGCACACAGAAGACGGCAGUUUUG
rnacentral:lncRNA from 1 species